AAGAAGAGGAGGAGGAGGAGGCAGUGGAGGAGGAAAAAGAGAAGCAGAGUGGGUGGAAGGAUGGAAGGAGAGAAGGAUAGAAGCAGUUCGAGGAGGUGGUUCGAAGCGGGUGAACCCAGAGCAGGUGAACACAGCUGUGGAUCGCCAUGGGCUCUCUGGCUGCCUUCCUCCUGUGGCCCCAGCGCUGCAAACAGGGGUCCCGGGGAGUUGGCAGGGGCCAGCCAAAGCUGCGGCAGAGUGGGCAGGCUAGGCCAGCCAAGCCAGGAGAGAGGCAGGUGAGGCGGGUGAGCCGAGCUCUCAUCCCCGCCGGCUAGGAGCCUCCGCGGCAGAGUGGAGCAGCGCGGAGCAGCAGAAAUCAAUACAGAGGAGAGAGGCUAGCAGAGGUUGCCCAGCACCGCCUGCAGGCCUCGGAGCCCAGGGACCAACCACCACCACUGCUCCCAGCUCCUCUAUCCAUCUGUCUUUCUAUCUUUCUCCAGCAGUCCCAGCACCAGCCAGGGCCAGGGCCCUAACCCUGCAACCGCCCCACACGCAGUGUGUGUGUCAGUGUGUAAAAUGGAGAGAAAAAGGGAGAGGGAAGAGACAGAGAGAGUCUUUGUGUGUGGUUCAGCCAGAGGGGUUUUUGCUGCGUCCAACACCACUUGAUAAAACUUUGCCAGAGAGACAAGGAGACAGCGAGGGAGGGAGAGAAACGGAAGAAGAAGAAGACAGGACGUCGAAGGUCUCUUUUCUUCCAGCUCCCUCCCUCUUAUUACUCAUUCCACCUUAACUGUUUGAAUAAGGAUCCAUGGGAGACUGUACACAGGACGUUACUGCCCACUUCCAAGCACAUAGAACGCAAUAUUCCUAAGAUCACAUGAGCCAGGAUGAAAGGACAAUUUGAACUUUUUCUCUCAUCCACUGUAUCAGACACAACCUGUCUUUUCGCUUUAGAUUUUCUUAUCCUCACAACAGCAGCUCCCAUCAGAGGAUAUGGCAGUGCAGUAUUGAUCUAUAAGGUGGAAGAGAGGAAGGCGGGCCUGGGCUUUCAUACUCAGUGUGUGUGUAUGUGUGUGGAAAUAGCACUAAGUAAGUCCACUUACUGCUGUGCAGCAGGAAUCCCAUGGCAGCACAAGUGAAUGGCUGCUAAUUGAAUGAGAGAUGAAAAGGACAGUAGUUGUACCUGUUCAGUGCCCCCCCGUCUGAUACUACUUGGUUUUUUGUGUGAAUUUUUUCCCCUCCACGUUUACAGAAGUCCUUCUCCACACAAAGAGACUCGCUUUACAGAUUUUUUAGCAAAAUCCUCAGGAAUGAAAUACCUCAACAUCAGUGUAGAGGUGAAUGCCUUCAGUAGAAAACACAGCGGAGAAAAAUACCUUUUCAUUCAGUGGUAGAAACAUCCGGCUGAAAACUUUUGAGAGGUCACGCCACGUUCUGUACAUAUUUAUGGAUUUGGAAGGACAUUGCAGGCCAGAUGACAUGAAAGCAUGAAAACAUUAACAGAGAUUACAUCGGGAUUCAUGUGAUGCAGCGUGCCAACAAUUUCACCACGGAGAUGAAAAGCAACAAUUGAGCUUCCACCAUUGGACCUUACUCUGACAAAGCACAUAUGCCGUCUGUAGCCUAUUUCUCUGAACAUGUUUUCCACAUAUGGAAAAUGCCACCUCUGCACUCGUGAGAACAAUCAGACACACAGUGUCAGAGUUUGAUUAUCAGUUCUCUAGUCUGCGGUCUUCGUGGAUGUGGACAGGUAAGUUGGAGCUUCUGAGAGGUAAGUUUAGAGGUUGAAUCAAUUUAAAAGCUGUCUGAAGUGUAAAAUGGAGCUGCCGUGCAAUAUUUUCCAAAAUUAGUUUCAUUAGAUAUGGAUUACUAUAUUUGAGACCAAUUUUAGGUCGGAUAUUGGAUGAGAGCCCAAGGGGUCCUUCUUUUUCCUAAGUAAUUUACCUUCAAGUAUUUAACUGGAAAAUUGUUUGACAAGAGUUUGUCGCUGUUGAAUUACUUUCCCCUUUUCUGUGGGAUGUUAUGUACUUGCACAUAUUUAUAGAAACUUUUUCAUAGUGUAAUGAACUAAUUUAUCAUCAAAUUUUGGAUGAGAUAGCAGAAUGCCAAAAAAUGUUGCCCUGAUAUGUUUUCAAUAAAGUGGAACAAUUUGUGAAAUGAAAA